UACGUAGGGUGCGAGCGUUGUCCGGAAUUACUGGGCGUAAAGGGCUAGUAGGUGGCCAACUAAGUCAGACGUGAAAUCCCUCGGCUUAACCGAGGAAUGGCGUCUGAUACUGGAUGGCUUGAGUUUGGGAGAGGGAUGCGGAAUUCCAGGUGUAGCGGUGAAAUGCGUAGAUAUCUGGAGGAACACCGGUGGCGAAGGCGGCAUCCUGGACCGACACUGACGCUGAGGAGCGAAAGCCAGGGGAGCAAACGGG
rnacentral:rRNA from 1 species